rnacentral:rRNA from 1 species
CCUACGGGUGGCAGCAGUGGGGAAUAUUGCACAAUGGGGGAAACCCUGAUGCAGCGACGUCGCGUGAGUGAUGAAGUAUUUCGGUAUGUAAAGCUCUAUCAGCAGGGAAGAAAAUGACGGUACCUGACUAAGAAGCCCCGGCUAACUACGUGCCAGCAGCCGCGGUAAUACGUAGGGGGCAAGCGUUAUCCGGAUUUACUGGGUGUAAAGGGAGCGUAGACGGCGGUGCAAGCCAGAUGUGAAAGCCCGGGGCUCAACCCCGGGACUGCAUUUGGAACUGUGCUGCUAGAGUGUCGGAGAGGCAGGCGGAAUUCCUAGUGUAGCGGUGAAAUGCGUAGAUAUUAGGAGGAACACCAGUGGCGAAGGCAGCUUACUAAACUGCCACUGACAUUGAUGCUCGAAAGUGUGGGUAUCAAACAGGAUUAGAUACCCUAGUAGUC